GUCUCUAUGGCGUAGUGGGAAAAUGACACACUCUCAAUAAGGAGUCCUGGGUUCGAAUCCCGGGUGAGACA